GAAGAUUAAUGUCAGUCACCUGCCAGCCCAGGGAAUGGAUCUGAUAGAAUUAACUCCUCCUCCUGUUUUCACGCUGUUCUUCCUUAUGCACGCGAGGGUGGGCGUCUCACCCCGCACAGGCUGAACGCUUCCCGCGUCCUGCUCGGAAAGCAGUGCCAGAACCCAGCUGGCGGCUCUUCAGCGACACGUCUCUCAGACUCUCCAGAAGCAAUCAGAGCAAGCUUAAAAAAACCCCAAAACAAAUGGUUUGGAAAGCAGGGUAAGCACCAGGGACCGGCUCCGGCCCCAGUGGAUGACAUCAGAUGGAGCGGCUCCACCACAGCAAACGAGCAGCCGCCGAUAAGGCAGGGAUGCAGCUCUUAAUGACAGCGGCUUCGUGACUCAUCACAGCCGAUGCAACCAGCAGAAGGUCCGCACGCCCCGAGCCGCACGCCACAUGCUGCCGUGCUCUUAAUCUGAAUUAACCGAGACACUCGUACCCACGCUGGGGUGGGCAAAACUCCUCCAGCAGCCGAAGCCCCUGGAGAAAUAGAAGUUUCUGGAUUACUAUUUGAUUUUCUUCUUCCUCUCAGCAACUCGUCUCAUCCAUAUUUACAGGCAGCAUCUGACCACCCUUUCUGAGCAAGAAAUGUGACUGGAGAGCAAGUUACUGCAGAAAGAAGAUCUGCUGGGCACACACAUCAUCCCCGGCUCACGCAGUAGAGCUGGGUACCGGGUUUUUAUGCCAGCUUAGCAGUUAUUUUGGGGACGGGCGCUACUAAUGGUCCUUGACUGAGAUCAUACUGAAGCAACAUAUCACUGGGCUUUUAGGUCUCUACUUUUGACAACAAAAAUUAAUGGGAGCCUCGUGGCAUACCUGCAAGACCCAUCCGGGGCGGACAAAGGAUGUUAGAACAGCCCCGUCCUCUACUCACAACGGUGGGAUACAGAGACAUUUUAUCUGCCAUAAAUAAGGACGAGAGGCGGAUCUGGGAGCAGCGCUGCAGGACCUGAAGCUUUGCGUGACCCACGUCACGCCGGACGGAGCACCCAGCCAGGUCGCGCUGGUGAUGGUAGAACAGGAUGAGGAUCGCAAGAGGAGGAAGAAACCAAGUGAGAAAAGCAGGGGGGCAGAAGCAUAAACAGGUAAAUAGCAAAGCUUUUGGAAAAAAAGAAAAAACCACAACAAAAAACAACUGUCGAGAAGCCAAGGCAGUCAGAACAAAUAAAUGUGCAGUGGCUCUGAUUUACCAGAGAGCUGAGCUGGCUUCCUGCGUGAUUAGUUUUCUCGUGCUGAGUGGCCCUUAAGUGCUUUGGGUCUAAUUGCUGCUGAAGCUUUCUGUAGCAAAGAGGAACAGAACGGCUCCGCCAUGGAAAUCCAUCUGCUGUCUCCCCGUGUCCCUCACCACCCCGAGACCCAUCACUGUCCACCUUGUUGGAUGUCACUGUGCAGGAAUAUCUCGUAGAUGCACGGUCUGACUUGGCAAAACGCGAGCCGUGCGGAUAAAGCCAAGGGGCCUCGGGCAAGGUGGCAAAGAGGGGCUCCAAGCGGUGUUUGCGCUCGCUGGUGUGAUGUUGGCUGGCUUGGGAGCAGCAGCUGCUCUUCUCCAGGUUAUUACAUGGGAGGAAGGAGCUAACAGGGGGUCUUGCACAUUUUUCAGAUGCUGAGGAAAGCUGUGGCAGGGAGAUGGAGAUGGAGAUGGAGAUGGAGAUGGAGAUGGAGAUGGAGAUGGAGAUGGAGAUGGAGAUGGAGAUGGAGAGGAACCGGGCUGGCAGCUCCAGCACCUUGUGUUCUGUGCUCCUCCACGGCAAGUCACCAUGAAAUUAUAGCAGAAAAGAAGACGAAGGCUUGCCCCUGCCUGCCCUCCCUGCAAAAGCUGCUGAGCAUCCGUCAACUGCCACAUUCGGGGAGUCUGGGGCCCAUGGGGGAGGACUCCCCAAGUCUCCCAUCACGGGGAGCCCGGGCAGAGCCGGACAGCCAGAGCCCUUCCAUGGCAUUUGCUACCUGCAGUGGACGGCCCCCAGAAUGCAGGUCCCACAGCCCAAAGGACUCAGCCAGGAGACCCCUGCGGCACAGUGGAAGGUACAAGUGCCUUUUCUAUUUUUUUUUUUAGAAGAGAUUUUAAAUCUGUUUCCCUCUGGAAAGCGCUUUGCUCCAGGUGAAAUGUUUUGAGGCUGAACUCAUCUUCUCCACUCUUUUGCAUGCUCGCUACGAAAAAGGACGUCCUCGAACCUGGGCCACGGCCGAGCUAUCUUUAACUGGGCUUACACAACCAUCCAGUUUGUUGCAUUGUGUUGCAUUUUUCUCAGGACGGAUCUUGGCUUCGGGCCUAAAACAGCAGGACAGAAAGUCCAUGUCAGCUGCUGCUUCUGGAAGGGCCGGGAUGCGGCCGCCUCGCUGUGCGUCGGUGGCUUGGACGCACCAUUGGCAUCUCGGCCCUCCUUGAAGCCUCUCCUCUGCCUGGGAGGAGGAAAAAUAACGUCGUUAUCAGUGCAGGAGCUGGGCACCGUGGGAAAGGCACGCUAACGUCCCUGCUGCCUCUCUCCAGGCCUUUUUGUAGUUUUCUUUUGCAGAAAGUGCCGCUUGUUCCCAUGAGGAGGAGAUUUCUGGUGGCCACCUCUGCCUGGCCACAUCUGCACAGCCAUUCCUGCCUGGCCAGACAGGUCCCUGGGAGGGCGUGAUACUCAUGGUGACAGCGAGAGCUGAGGCCAUACGGCCGGCGAGGUCCCUUUUGGAGACAUCUUCUGCCAGCCCUUCCUGGUUCCUACCAGGGAGUGGAAACUGUUGCCUCUGGUGACAUCUGCCUUGGGGCUCCAGCUCUUCUAAAACUCCCUUUAAAAUGAUUUUUCUCCCGAGUUUCAUCCCAUUAUGAAGGAUGCUGAAGGGAGACUGUUUUCUUUUGGUGGGCACAAGGAUCUUUUUCUGCUUGCUCCCUGCCUUUGCCCACCCCACCAUGACAAAGCCACCUCCUCUUGGCUGUCCCUGUACCCCGGCCAGGUGCCAGCCCCUGGUUUUCCGCUGUUGCCCAAGUCCCUGUUGUCCUCACCGGAGCUUUGCAACGUUUCCCUGGUGGUUUAGCACCCCCUGCCUGCUUUUGGGGGGUCCGGGACUGGGCUCUCGCCCCACCACCAGCUGGGAGCUGGGGUGACGAUGCACUGGGGAGGUGACAGUACUGUCAUGCCGGAGCUUGCGGCUCAUUUUUUGGCUGGCCAGGGCUGCAGGAGCUCACUCACCCACUGGCCGGUGGCCAAAUGGCAUGGCUGGGCAGCUGCCAGCACUUGCAUUAAUAGUUACCAGCUUGCGGUUUGAGGUCACCCGUUCUUUCCAGUCUUUCAUUUCCCCCCUCCCAGCUUAUUUCAUGCCUGUAAACCACAACGAGCAGGCAGCAGCUCCCGUACCCCCCCGGCCCCGCUACCCCUGCCUGCCUGCUCGCUGCAGGCAGGGCUGCUGCCCCUCGCUUUUGUUUUGGGUCUGGGACAGCAUCAUUUCACAGCACCACAUCCCUACUGAGCAUCCCCAGGUGCCAGGAGGGGACAACCAGCAUCUCGGGGGGACACCCUCACCCCCACAUGGCUGGGGGGAGAAGAAGCAUCCUCCCAGCUACCCCAGGGCUAAAACCGCCUUCCCCAAAGCCCAGCAUGCAGAAGACUUGUGCCAAGGCACGGCCCCUUUGCAAAAUAAUUUGUAGCUGCCGUCAUCCCCUGCCAAAGGCUUCGGGAAGGGUGUUUUAUUAGCAACUCGCUAGGAAUAAAUCUCCCUUUUCAUAA